GAUAUGCAGUAGUGUGCACUUAUUGUGUGCAAUUUAUUGUCUCAAAGUACCAAAACAACCCCAGCAGGGUGUGUGAUAUGGGGUACCCCAGCAGAGUAUCUGUUGUAGUGUAAAUAAUGCCAGUGGACCCCAGCAGGGUCGGUAAAAAUGACAGUAAGGUGUAAUUACCCCAGCAGGGUAUUCUGUAUCUGUCACUUAGUGUUGUCAAAUUGUCCCAGCAGGGCAAACCACAAUAUUGGGAUUUGUAUAACUGUGCCUCACCCAGGAUCACAGAGGUGGCCACAGGGCGACCUCCAAAAAGCAGCACAGUAAUAGGGGCAGAAUCCCAGGCAGGCACAGGGUAAUAAGCCCUUUAGUGCCUAAUAUGGCAGUAAUGAGACAAAAGUGACUGACCUCUGAGGGAUAAUAG